GGGGGCGAGGGGACGACUGGGGUCGAAGAGGCGCCCUCAGCGCUUGGGCUCAGCUAAGAUGGCGCGGGGAAGUGCCGAGAGCCGGGAGCCGCCGCCGCCACCGCCGCCUCGGGGGAACCGGCCCGGGCCUCGGCCGCCUCCCGUCCUCACACAGCCGAGGCCCUCUUGGUCCCCCGCCGCGGCCCCUCGGCGGGCGGGCCCACGCACAGCCCUCCGCCACCACCACCACCCCUGGGAAGGGGGCGCUCACAAAGAGAAGAGAGGCCGCGGGCCUCAAAGGUUCGCGGCUGCCUCGCACUCUCGGCCCGCGAAGGGCGCAGGCAAGCGGGACCCCUCCUCUUUCCUCAGGCAGGCGGCGGCACCGACUCACUCUCUUUGCCACCCUCCCUCUCUCUCUCCCCAAGCCCUGAAGCCACAGAACCCGGCCGCUGCCCAGGUUCCCCCCCCUUCCCCAACACCACUCCCCUCCUCCCGACAGUCAUCCCAGUCUUCGAUCUCGCGAGAUUUCUCGCCUGACAGGCCCGGCCCUGCGCGAGACAAGACUGCGUACGCGUGCGCGCCCUCACGGGAGCGCGCGAGUGCUUGCACUGGGCGGAGUCGUCCGUUUGGCCCGGAGUCCCAGCCCCUGUCCAGCCCGGCCUCAGUCAGCUGGCGGAGCUCUUAUGCCACGCGGACGUCAGGUGCAUUCAUCUCACCCUGAAAUCUGAGAAAGAGGAGUUUCUCUGCUCUCCUCCUUUUUCCCUCUUCCCACUCCCAAAACAUCCGCCCCCCAGUAACGCUGAGAAUGAGAAGUUUGCCCUGACGUGUAGAAUAUCUGAGUCUUACCCAUCUUAGUUCAACUCCUCUGUGGAAUUCGGACGUAAACUGGUCAGCGUAAUCAGUAUGUAAUUGGCUUUGGAGAUUCUAAUAGUUUGUAAUAAUCUUUGAAAUGGCAAUAAGAGUUGGAAAUGCAGACCUAAUCACCCUAUACGUUGGUGAUGAUGGGAAAGACAAAUUCUUGAAAAGUUUUUGUGGAUUUUUUUUAGUAGGUUGAGUGAAGUUUUUGAAACAAGAAUAGUAGACAAACUAAAGAGUCCUAAGGGUCCCAAUGCAGGGAAGAGGUAGAACUUCUCAUUUUUUUUGUGGCGGAAAACCUUUUUUUAAGGGAAAACCCUACGAAGAGUGCAAUUUUAUUCAAGAACCCAAAGAAAGGCUAUAUUAAAUUCCCGUACUCCCUAGCCACUUCUGGCUUCAAUGACUCCAGCUCUAUUGCCAAACCAUAGAGUGAGCCCUUACUGCUGAGGACAUACAUGAAUACAGAGGUUCUACCCAUUGCCACCACUGGACCCAACUGUCUGCUUUGGAAUUGGAUAACACACUGAGAAAGCUAUCUUUCCUCUCAGAUAGACUCUUUGAAGAUAGGAGGAGCUUAGGAUUGAGAAACUUUGGUUCCUUGGGAGGGAACAUGCCAGCUGUGAAAAGCCCAGAGUUGUAAAUUGUCAGAUGGUGACUGCCUGUGAAGCCUGUCAAGAUUCCUGACAGCUCAGCUGAGAACCUAAUUACCAGUUACAAAGAGAGACAGGAAAAACGUGUUGUCGGAGAGCUCCUGGUCAGAGAGAAUGAGAUACAGUGUCCUGGCCUCAUCAUCUGCCUCCUUCUUGAUUCAGCUAGAGGAAAACACAUUAGUAUAAUUGACAUUACAUAUGUUUAUUAUCUGGAACAAAGGAACCAUGUCAAACCACAG
ensembl:lncRNA